AUACUUACCUGGCAGGGAGAUACUGUGAUCACAGAGGUGGUUUUCCCAGGGCGAGGCUUAUCCAUGGUGCUCGGUGUGCUGACCCCUGUGAUUUCCCCAAAUGUGGGAAAUCGGCUGCAUGAUACGUGGUAGUGGGGGACUGCCUUCCUGCUCUCCCCUA